rnacentral:lncRNA from 1 species
UCAGUAUUCAGUCCCAGUGCUACUUCCGAGUCAUCCCUAAAAAUAAUAAUAGAAUAUUUGAAUUCCUUGAAAGAGUUUUCUGCAAGACUUUGGAAAUGUGCUUUUGAAGUGGGUGUGGUAACCACUGCCAAGUGAUGAUGUGGUCAGGCUGUAUGUGUGGAAAACAGUAGCAAAGCAUCCCCAGGCACUUAACUCCUUUUGGCCGCCGUAUGCUGCUUCACAUGGACUGCGUGCCUUGUGCUAUGAGGUGGUUGGCACCCACAAGCCGAGGCAGUCCAGCCCUGCAUGCAGUGGAACUUCAGCUGGCUCAGGGCUCACCUUGCCCUGGCAGUAGUGUCAGGGCUGGGCUGAGGCCUCUUCCUGAUGGAAGGGAAAGUGUAUACGAGACAGUAGCUACUGGGGAAGGGAAGAGGGAGCAUGAAAGGUGCCAAAGAAAGGGAUUUUAACAGUUGGCAUUUUUGUCCUGAGCCAGACAUUUUAUGUUUGAAGUCCUGAAUUUUCAGCCAUGCUCAGGAAAAUCAAAGUCUGAGGUAAGUGCUUCGCAGGAAGAACAUGAGUUGUGAAUUGGGGCUCAGAGGUGUGCAUGCACGUGAGGCUUGGGAAGGCCAGCUUUACAGGGCUGUUCCUACAGAGCUGUUGUGAAACAAAUGCUUUUUCUGGGCUCAUCCUACGUUACCUUACAAGUCAGUAAUACUUUAAAGGGCCUAUUCAUUAAUUCAAUCUUUGACCUGAUUUGGAAAAUCUACAGGGGAAAAAAUGGCUGCAAGUGUGUGGAAAAAAUAACAGUAAAUAACAAGUACUUAUUUCUAGUAAACUGUAAGGAGCCUCCUGGGAAAGGAGCCUCCUCACUUAGCACUACAGUUGACAGACUUUUCCAAUUUUUUACCCCGGUAGUUAGUGGCCUGGAUACUUAACCACUAGUUUCCUAUCCCCAAAACCAGUUCACAUAGUCCUGACUCUAUCUUAAAAAAAAAAAAAAAAGAAAAAAAAGGCAUCUAUUUAGAACAGUGCUUAUUAAAAAGGUCGGCUGCAUCGUGAGUUCAGGUAUUCCAAUCUGCGUGCUUUGUAGGUGCUGUUGCCUGAUACGUGGGUAGCGAUUUCAAUGUAAUGGAAACGUUUUGGCCGGAGCGCCAGGUCUGUAAUCUCUUGCAAUAAAAUGUUCCUUUCUAACACUGCAGGCUUCUUGGUGUUCUUCCCCUUGCCCUGAGGUGAGCAUGCACAGCAUGCUUCUGCUAAGCCGCCCUAACCUGGGUCUGCUUCCCUCAACAGCUGAGUAGCGAGGCAAGGAGGGCGUCUGCUGGCUGUAGCCUGGAAUGCCAACAGGACUUUACCACAGGCCACCGCUGUCGAAGCUUUUUGGGGCAAGCCCUGCAGGCUCUCAUUGGUGUGAACACACACACAGUGCUGCUCAGCGUUCUCAGGUGUGUCUAACGGCCCACUUUCUGAUGCACUGCGCAGGGAGGUGCUAGAUGGAGCCAAGGGGAGAUUGGACGUUUUCAAGUGACUUUGGAAGAGGUACUAUGCAGAGCAGAAACCCAAACCUGUGCAGUUCGGACCUGCUGAAGGCCCUGGAGGUCUCUAGCGUUUGGUACUGAACACUUGGCACCGUGUUUCUAUUUUGUCUGCAUACAGGUGAGCUGUUGCCUUUUUGGUUUUUAACUCCUGGCAGCCUUUCCAAAGACUGUACUGAGAAUAUGGAGCAUUUGCUUGAAUGAUUUUUGUGAACAAGCAGCUGGUUGGCUUCUGUGAGCAAAGGGAAAGGGAUACGUGCUGAAGGCUGGCAAAAAACAUUGGAGAUCUUUGUUUUACUGAUAAAUAAUGAGCAUGGCAGAUAAUAAUUUCUUAGGAAAUUAAACUGUGAUUUCAGUUGUAUGUGUGCAAG